rnacentral:misc_RNA from 1 species
GGAAUCUCUGGGCAAGGCAGUCUCC